GACGAACGCUGGCGGCGUGCUUAACACAUGCAAGUCGAACGAAGAGCGAUGGAAGCUUGCUUCUAUCAAUCUUAGUGGCGAACGGGUGAGUAACGCGUAAUCAACCUGCCCUUCAGAGGGGGACAACAGUUGGAAACGACUGCUAAUACCGCAUACGAUCUAACCUCGGCAUCGAGGAUAGAUGAAAGGUGGCCUCUACAUGUAAGCUAUCACUGAAGGAGGGGAUUGCGUCUGAUUAGCUAGUUGGAGGGGUAACGGCCCACCAAGGCGAUGAUCAGUAGCCGGUCUGAGAGGAUGGACGGCCACAUUGGGACUGAGACACGGCCCAGACUCCUACGGGAGGCAGCAGUGGGGAAUCUUCCGCAAUGGACGAAAGUCUGACGGAGCAACGCCGCGUGAGUGAUGACGGCCUUCGGGUUGUAAAGCUCUGUUAAUCGGGACGAAAGGCCUUCUUGCGAAUAGUUAGAAGGAUUGACGGUACCGGAAUAGAAAGCCACGGCUAACUACGU
rnacentral:rRNA from 1 species